rnacentral:rRNA from 1 species
GAUGAACGCUGGCGGCGUGCCUAAUACAUGCCAGUCGAGCGAACGGACGAGAAGCUUGCUUCUCUGAUGUUAGCGGCGGACGGGUGAGUAACACGUGGAUAACCUACCUAUAAGACUGGGAUAACUUCGGGAAACCGGAGCUAAUACCGGAUAAUAUUUUGAACCGCAUGGUUCAAAAGUGAAAGACGGUCUUGCUGUCACUUAUAGAUGGAUCCGCGCUGCAUUAGUUAGUUGGUAAGGUAACGGCUUACCAAGGCAACGAUGCAUAGCCGACCUGAGAGGGUGAUCGGCCACACUGGAACUGAGACACGGUCCAGACUCCUACGGGAGGCAGCAGUAGGGAAUCUUCCGCAAUGGGCGAAAGCCUGACGGAGCAACGCCGCGUGAGUGAUGAAGGUCUUCGGAUCGUAAAACUCUGUUAUUAGGGAAGAACAUAUGUGUAAGUAACUGUGCACAUCUUGACGGUACCUAAUCAGAAAGCCACGGCUAACUACGUG